rnacentral:rRNA from 1 species
AUACGUAGGGUGCAAGCGUUAAUCGGAAUUACUGGGCGUAAAGCGUGCGCAGGCGGUUUUGUAAGACAGAGGUGAAAUCCCCGGGCUCAACCUGGGAACUGCCUUUGUGACUGCAAGGCUAGAGUACGGCAGAGGGGGAUGGAAUUCCGCGUGUAGCAGUGAAAUGCGUAGAUAUGCGGAGGAACACCGAUGGCGAAGGCAAGCCCCUGGGCCUGUACUGACGCUCAUGCACGAAAGCGUGGGGAGCAAACAGGAUUAAAUUCCCUGGUAGUCCACGGCCUAAACGAUGUCAACUGGUUGUUGGGGCUUCAUUGACUCAGUAACGAAGCUAACGCGUGAAGUUGACCGCCUGGGGAGUACGGCCGCAAGGUUGAAACUCAAAUGAAUUGACGGGG